rnacentral:rRNA from 1 species
UACGUAGGGGGCAAGCGUUGUCCGGAAUCAUUGGGCGUAAAGCGCGUGUAGGCGGCUCGGUAAGUCCGCUCUGAAAGCCCGGGGCUCAACCCCGGGAGGCGGGUGGAUACUGCUGAGCUCGAGUCCGGAAGAGGAGUGUGGAAUUCCUGGUGUAGUGGUGAAAUGCGUAGAUAUCGGGAGGAACACCAGUGGCGAAGGCGGCUUUCUGGCCUGUUCUUGACGCUGAGGCGCGAAAGCCAGGGGAGCAAACGGG